rnacentral:rRNA from 1 species
AACGUAGGUGGCAAGCGUUAUCCGGAAUUACUGGGCGUGAAAGGGUAGGUGCAGGCGGGGUGGGCAAGUGGUGUAUGAAAUCUCCCAGCUUAACUGGGAUAGGUUAUGCCAGACUGCUACUCUAGAGGACGAGAGAGGGGCGUGGAAUUCCGGGUGUAGUGGUGAAAUGCGUAGAGAUCCGGAGGAACCCCAGAGGCGAAGGCGACGCCCUGGCUCGUACCUGACGCUCAGCCACGAAAGCAUGGGGAGCGAACGGG